rnacentral:rRNA from 1 species
AUUGAACGCUGGCGGCAUGCUUUACACAUGCAAGUCGAACGGUAACAGGCCUUCGGGUGCUGACGAGUGGCGAACGGGUGAGUAAUGCAUCGGAACGUACCCAGAGGUGGGGGAUAACGCAGCGAAAGCUGUGCUAAUACCGCAUGUGAUCUGAGGAUGAAAGCGGGGGACCGAGCAGCAAUGUUUGGCCUCGCGCCUUUGGAGCGGCCGAUGUCGGAUUAACUAGUUGGUGGGGUAAAGGCCUACCAAGGCGACGAUCCGUAGCUGGUCUGAGAGGACGACCAGCCACACUGGGACUGAGACACGGCCCAGACUCCUACGGGAGGCAGCAGUGGGGAAUUUUGGACAAUGGGCGCAAGCCUGAUCCAGCAAUGCCGCGUGCGGGAAGAAGGCCUUCGGGUUGUAAACCGCUUUUGGCAGGAACGAAACGGUGUCCGCUAAUACCGGGCGCUAAUGACGGUACCUGCAGAAUAAGCACCGGCUAACUACGUG